rnacentral:rRNA from 1 species
AAUGAACGUUGGCGGCGUGGAUUAGGCAUGCAAGUCGAGCGUACCCAGCAAUGGGGAAGCGGCAAACGGGGUAGUAAUGCGUCGGUACGUGCCCUCGGGACGAGGAUAGCCACGGGAAACUGUGGGUAAUACUCGAUGAUCUCGUGAGAGCAAAGGUGUGACUCCGCCGGAGGAGCGGCUGACGUGGUAUUAGGUAGUUGGUAGGGUAAUGGCCUACCAAGCCUGGGAUGCCUAGGGGGUGUGAGAGCAUGGCCCCCACCAUUGGGACUGAGAAACUGCCCAGACACCUACGGGUGGCUGCAGUCGAGGAUCUUCGGCAAUGGGCGCAAGCCUGACCGAGCGACGCCGCGUGCGGGAUGAAGGCCUUCGGUUGUAAACCGCUGUCAGGGGGAGUGAAUCAUGGUGGGUACUCCAUCAUGUUGACAGAGCCCCAGAGGAAGCGCGGGCUAAGUUCGUG